GUGCUGGUGGACUUAGUUAAAUGCCUCUUUGGAAACAAGAGAUUCCUUGUGGACCCAACGCAUACUUGUUGUAGUUGUGUGCUCCUCAGAGUCUUCUUACUGAUUGCUCAGAGGGAUUACAGGGGAGUCAGCAGCUCCGAUGGGGUGUUUAAGAAUGAGAGCAAGUUUCUUCAGUGUUGUCGGCCCCUAUCUCUCCCAUGGCCUGCCCUCGUCUCACCUCUCACCCCUCCAAAUCAAGGCAUGUCUGAGCUCGGUCUGCCCAGGACUGUUGAUGAGCUUUCGCUUCUGCUUUGUUUCUGAACUAACACGUGUUCUUCAGAACGGCUCGCACGGCCCCGUGGGAUUAUGACAGCUCUCAGCCGAGCUCUGCCAGCUAUUAAUAGAAAUACU
rnacentral:lncRNA from 1 species